rnacentral:rRNA from 1 species
UACGUAGGGUGCAAGCGUUGUCCGGAAUUAUUGGGCGUAAAGAGCGUGUAGGCGGCCAUUUAGGUCCGGUGUGAAAACUCGAGGCUUAACCUCGAGAUGUCAUCGGAAACCAUUUGGCUAGAGUCCGGAAGAGGAGAGUGGAAUUCCUGGUGUAGCGGUGAAAUGCGCAGAUAUCAGGAAGAACACCAAUGGCGAAAGCAGCUCUCUGGGACGGUACUGACGCUGAGACGCGAAAGCGUGGGGAGCGAACAGG